UACGGGGGGGGCAAGCGUUGUUCGGAAUUACUGGGCGUAAAGGGCUCGUAGGCGGCCAACUAAGUCAGACGUGAAAUCCCUCGGCUUAACCGGGGAACUGCGUCUGAUACUGGAUGGCUUGAGUUCGGGAGAGGGAUGUGGAAUUCCAGGUGUAGCGGUGAAAUGCGUAGAUAUCUGGAGGAACACCGGUGGCGAAGGCGGCAUCCUGGACCGAGAUUGACGCUGAUGCGCGAAAGCCAGGGGAGCAAACGGG
rnacentral:rRNA from 1 species